rnacentral:rRNA from 1 species
CAGGUAGGAAUACCCGCUGAACUUAAGCAUAUCAAUAAGCGGAGGAAAAGAAACUAACAAGGAUUCCCCUAGUAACGGCGAGUGAAGCGGGAAGAGCUCAAAUUUAAAAUCUGGCAGUGUAUUCUGUCC